rnacentral:lncRNA from 1 species
AAGGCAGCUUCACCUUUUGUGUCUCCCAAGGGCCUCCCCAUGAUGCUUAUCCACGAGUCUGUUGCUUUCCCAGGCAGGGUCCAGAGAAAGGUCCAGUUUAAUAAUGCCUACAUAAAGCCCUUUUCUCUUUUGUAGCGUCUUCUUUAUUCUAAGUGUAAAUUGCAAGGCUGUUCACAGAUUUUCAGGAGUUAUUCAAAGCAUUGAGUCAUUAAAAGAUUACCAAUUUCCAAACUUUUUUUUUUUUUUUUUUUUACUUCAGGUAAUAUGUCCCAGGGUUUGGGGGGGUGGGGAGGAAUCUCAGUUGUGAAAAGCUGGUUAAAGUUUCCUUUGUAGACCAGUAUCUGAUCAUUUUUUGUAAAUAUUUCUUUGAUAUACAAAACAGUAAAAAAAAAGUCUCAACUUGAUGGCUAAUGUACUCCUGCAUUUAUUAACUUGAGCUUAUCAGUUGAAAUAUUCUAUUCCUUUAUGGUGAUGACUUAUUUUCUUCCUAUUUCCAUACUGAAUUUCUAAGUUCAUAAACCAUUAUUUAAGAUUCAGAGAUGCCUUAUGUGCUCUCAUUAAAUCUCUUUAGUUUCUCCUAUUAGUUUGUGUUCACAUUUAUGUGCAUCCUUUAGUUGUGCCUUUGGGUCCAAAGGCUUCUGUCCUCAGGUUGUGGCUCCACAUUAGAUUCUGGGAGGUAUGAGUCUGUACACUUUGCAGACAUUCGGGGAAGCCUCACCACCCCAAGUAUCCUCUGCUUUAAAGUCACCCCAAACUCAGGAACAUAAUUAUGUCCAACUCCAUGGAGUUGGGGAGAUCAGCACCUCCUCCCCAAAAUGAUGUAGGCUGGUGUUGCCUUCUCAUCAGGGACCAUGGAUUUUCUUCAGCCAAGCUCUUUCCAGCAGUCAUUCAGACCCACCUCCAUGCUAAGCUUCCACUGGGCCCCCCACAGAGAGAGUUCUGCCCCAGUUCCUCUCUUAGACUUUGGAGGAACCUGGGACCUCUCAAACUCCGGGUCCCCCUCAGAAACGCAAUUAGAAGACAUUCUGAUGAUGGGAGCUGAGGGCAGAGGACUGCCAUGUAGUCUUAUCCUCCUCAACUCUGAUUUCUCCUGGGACACAUUGUUCCCUCAGACACUUGGCUUGGGGGGCACUAAACCAUUCGAUGACCUUUCAUCCACAGUGCAGGAAUUUUGCCCAGAUGUUAACAGAAGGAUCAUCUUGCAUGAGGAAGAAAGCAUUUCACUUUCCUCUCUCCGGGUUCCUGCCCCACCAUCAUUCAGAGUAUCAGGUGCAGGCAGUUAAGUCAUAGAGACAAACUUCUCACCUUGGAGAAACUUACUAGGAAGAGAAAAGGAUUUAUGGUGAUGAGCUUUUCAGAGUCUUCUGAAUAUGUGGAUUCCAUGAACAAGCUUCAGUUUCUCUUUGUUCUGUUACAGUGUUCAGAAAGCAAUGAUCUACUAAGGGGGUGAAACUGUAUAUAUGUAACCGAACUUCCUUGCAUAUAUCAUACAGGAUGAAAAACUCUUCUCCUGAUCAUAAUAUUACUCCAGAAUGUCAUUUGAUAAUACAGGAAGUUCAUAAGCCAUUAGGAUAAUGAUUCCUAACAUGACUUGUCAGUAAAAUAUGGAAAUCAUUUCUUGUUACCCAUUUGUACUAAUUUUAUCUUACAUUUAUUUAGUCAGCAGCAAAGACUUUCAGAGGUGAUUGUUUCCCACUGAUUAAUUCCCAGUUCUAACAGAUCACUAGAUGAUAUACAGUAAUAUUUUCUUAACAGUGCAUUUUUAAAGAAGAAAAGAUUUAUAUCUCAGCUGACUCAUUUAGGUGGUCUUAUAAAUGUGAGGGAAAUUGCACAUUUUGUCACUGGCCUGUUAAUAGAUAUUCAGAGACAUUCAUGGCCACAGUCACCAAUGAACAAAGGAACUCAUAACUCCAACAUCUCUUAUAAUUCAUUGACCUCCCUUGCCCUUUCCUUCAACCCUGCCUCUGUUCCCCUUCACUCACUCUGGGCUCAGAAUUUACCUGUGGCUCUAGAGACUCCCACCAUAGCAUCUAAAUUGUUUUCCAGUUUUUUAAAGUAUCGGUGUCCUGUAACCCUUUCUGCCAAGCACCUAGCUAAUCAGAUUAAUUCAGGAUACUGGAGUACCUCUGCUCAAUUUACUCAGAGUACUUCUAAUCAGGUAUCAUAAACUAAUUACUGUUGAUAGAUGGUGGUUCAGUACUCUCAAUAGUACUUUCUUUGAUUAACUGCAGCAGAACAAAUCUGAGGAUAAUUGUAAGCAUUCAGGACUAGUGUGAAUGUAUUUGCAUGUGGAGAUGCAAACAGUGAAAGAAGAGCUGGGAGAAGCAUUGAGAGGGUCUUCUCCAGAUCUCUCAACCUCUUGAUCUGCUUCUUUAGAAGUCUAGACUUGCCCAUAGUUGUUGCUUUCAGGCUCUUCUCAUCAUCUGUUCUAAGGCUGCAGUUUUUUCUUUGGUGAUAAAGUAAUUGCACCAUAAUGAUUUUUCCCUUCCCACAGUUCUUACCAAUCACUGUUUGUCAAAUUGUGUUUACUAUAUCCACUGCCCUGAUAGUUGCAAGGUUUUUGAGAUGGAAGUGCACGAGUAAGAAACCCAGUCCCAUUCGCUCAAUCACAAAUGUAAAGAAGCUUAAAAAAGGUCUUGAUACAGAAAAAAUUAACAUUAAAAAUUGGUACACUGUGGAGGCUUUACAAAAGCUUUAACUUCUCCCUUAACCACACUCAGCCAUGCAAAGAAAGAAUUUUCCCCUUUUCCAGGAGAAAAGAGGCAAUUUUAGAAAUAGAAAAAAGAGAUGAUAGGAAGACAGUGGGGAGAAAAAUCACAUAUCAUCCUUUUUCCUUCUUCCCUGUCUUUUUCUCUAAUGCUCAGUAUAAAUGGGGGAAAAAAACUUUUAUAAGGGAAGAAUUCAUGAUUCUCAGGAGUAUGUCUCUAGUCAGGAAGACACUCUAUCUCAUUCUAAGCAAGAGUGGCACCCUCAGGAGAUAAGAGUUGGAUAUGAUUAUGCAAAAGAUCCAAGGUCAAAAGAGGAGCAUUUACACCUUGUAGGUAAUCUUGAGUGGAUGUCCUUAGGAUCAACUCAGUCUCUUUUUCAUAAGCAGAGGGGAAAGGACCCAGAGGUGGCCCUGCUUUGAUGGAUCCCAGGUGGCGAUCCACGCUUCUGUGCCACUGAUUGUAUACACUGAACUUAAGAUGCCACUUCCCAAAAGGCCAGCAGAGAUGUCUGGUCACAGACAACCUAUCUGUAAGUAGAUAAGGAAAUAUUUAACAUGUUUCUCCCCAAUUCUUAUGAGGGAAAAAGCUACGUACUUACUUACCUUUAAUGCUUGGCUGGAGUAAUACACUUAAUACAUAAUUAGAACACUAAACUGUCAAUUAAAUGUGACAAAUAUUUCUCGGUUAAAAUUGUUAUGGAACACAAGGUAAUCCCAACUGUCAUUGAACAAUCGUAUGAAACUCAUCAUCCAAAGAUGCUUUUCCCUUCAAGGCCUUUCACAUGUUAGAAUGAAAUUCCAAAGGGCUUUAUCAGUUAAUUAGAAAGCAAAUCCUGACAAUCCCUGCAUGCACAAUACUUACAAUUUAACCGUGAUAACACUAAAGAAAAAAAAAAGUUUGCUGAAAUUGAGUUCAAUGUCUAACAUGACUGCGGUUCACUCUUGAUGGAUAAUAAGGAAAAAUGUCACAGGGAGGAAGGUAGCGUAACUGAAAUUGUUCCCCAGAGGCUGCCAGGUAAAUGUCUGCUGACCUCUGAGAUGACUUGACCUUGGUAGGGAUAUGAUAUUUUGAAAUAAAUGACUAUUGACCUCUCUGAGUUCUCUUCUGUGGCAGUCUGCACGACAGUCUGCAGACAUAGCUCUACCCACAGUGUCCAGGGUUUUUUUUUGUGUGUGUUAAAACAUUGAUGGGAUUGGCUACAAUGAAGGAAAAAUGCGAAGAGUUUUGAACAUUGCCUGGCUUUUCUUCAUAUUCAUGGAUAAUUGUCUUUAUUAGGGAAUGACAUUGAGAGAAUUAAUGACAGUGGCAUGUUUUUGUGUCCCUUGGAGCUGUGUGAACAAAAAGGAGCAGUAAUUGGGGAGAGCAGAAGGGAAUGAAUUCUGGUGCAAAAGCCGACAAGCCAAAUACUUCAACUGUAGCCCAAACCUGGACAUGCGAUCAUGAAAGCAGCAUCAGUUUCUCUCUGCAGCCUUGGUUCAUACAGUCUAAAUCUAAUAAGCAAGAGGAUCCAGAGCUUCAAGACCCACAGCUAAAGUGCAAACAACAGCAGCUUUGCAGGUUGGAAAAGGCACCUUCGUUUGAGUUGAAAUGUCUGUUCACCAGCCCCUCAUAACUAGCACCAACCUAAGGAAUGUGUGGCAGCUGGCUGAGUGAUACAGAGCAGCUCAGUACAUUAGAAUCCCCAAGGAGAUUGAAGGCUUCUUGCAGGCACUGUCUUCAUUAUUAUUCCUGGAAGGAAGGUAGAAGUCAUAAUAAGUAUCUCUUACAUUCUAGUGAUAAAACAACAGCAACAACAAACAGGCCCGAGAAAUAAGUUUUCCUAGACAAGGCACUGAGAAAGCAGUGUAGAGUUAAUGCCUAAAUAUAAAAAUGGUAUUUGUUGGUCCUGGCAGAAUGAUAAAACAUGAUGAAGCUUACAAAUGUGCACUCGAGGGAAACUACUCAUGACAUGAAAAAGUAAAACCACUCAAGAAAAAUAAUGAAGGACUAGCAAAUGGUCACUGAAAGCUCUAGUCAUUUUUUACUUUUAAAAAUAACUUUAUUUGAAACAUCUAUGUACCAAUUUGCCAUUUAUGUGAAAUAUAUUAGGCAGUAAAAGUGAGUAAAUACUGAAGUGACCGAAUUAUAAAGACUGGUUUCUGACUAGAACUUUUCUCUAUUUUCAGCAUUGUCUGAUAGCAGAUCCCCUGGUGCCCACCACACUUUGACUUCAGACAUAAGUGAUGACUUCCUCUCUCAAUUCUUAGGCACUUACACUAUUUUUAUAAACAGUAGAUUUGUUGAAGAUAGUGGUUGGCUAAUACUCAUUUUUGCACCCUUAGAGCACAAGUUAAAUGCCUUACACAUUGUCAGUACUCAAUAAAUAUUUGUUGAGAGAACAACGAAUAAAUAUGUCUCUAGAAAAUAUUC